rnacentral:rRNA from 1 species
GACGAACGCUGGCGGUGUGCUUCACACAUGCAAGUCGAACGGGGUAGCAAUACCUAGUGGCGGACGGGUGAGUAACGCGUGGGAAUCUGCCUUGAAAUGGGGGAUAGCAAGCCGAAAGGUUUAUUAAUACCGCAUAUGAUUACAUCAAGACAUUUUUUGUAAUUGAAAGGAGCAAUCCGUUUCAAGAUGAGCCCGCGUCCGAUUAGCUAGUUGGUAGGGUAACGGCCUACCAAGGCGACGAUCGGUAGGUGGUCUGAGAGGAUGAUCACCCACAAUGGGACUGAGACACGGCCCAU